AUACGGAGGGUGCAAGCGUUAUCCGGAAUCAUUGGGUUUAAAGGGUCCGCAGGCGGAUUAAUAAGUCAGUGGUGAAAUCCUCUCGCUCAACGAGAGAACUGCCAUUGAAACUGUUAGUCUUGAAUUCGGUCGAAGUAGGCGGAAUGUGUCAUGUAGCGGUGGAAUGCAUAGAUAUGACACAGAACACCGAUAGCGAAGGCAGCUUACUAGGCCUGGAUUGACGCUCAUGGACGAAAGCGUGGGGAGCGAACAGGAUUAGAAACCCCGGUAGUCC
rnacentral:rRNA from 1 species